rnacentral:rRNA from 1 species
AUGCCGUCCCACAGAUCAGCAGCUGCUUCUCUACUGGCAGCAGUAUGGCUCUGCCUCGGCGUAGCGCUGCUUGGGGUUGGAGCAGCUCCGCCUAGGCCUAGCAGCAGUUGCCAGAGAGACUGCGGCGGCGUGGACAUCCCUUACCCGUUCGGCAUCGUCGACUCGCCCGGCGACAGCAGCAGCGACUGCGCCAUGCCCGGGUUCGGCCUGACCUGCCACGAGACCGAUGUGAAUGGCGGGCGCCGCACGCCGUUUUAUUACGACGUGGAGGUCGUCGACGUCUCGCUGCAGCAAGGCCAGGCCAGGAUGCAGAAUCAUAUCUCCUCCUACUGCUACAACGCCGCCACUCAGGGCAUGGACGCCAGCGAGUGGCGCCUCAACUUCACCGGCACGCCCUACAGGUUCGCCGACACCAACAAGUUCACCGUCAUCGGCUGCCAAACGCUGGCCUACAUCGAGGGCGCGCACACCCACGAGUACACCAGCGGCUGCGUGGCCAUGUGCCGAGCAGAAAGCGACGGCGAUGCGAGGUCGGCCCUCAGCAACGACUCCUGCUCCGGGAUUGGGUGCUGCCAGACCGCCAUCCCCAGGGGCCUGCAGUACGAAGUGGAGUUCGACUCCGGCUUCAACACCACCAAGAUCCACAACGUCAGCCGCUGCAGCUACGCCGUUCUCAUGGACGCCUCAAACUUCACCUUCCAAACAACCUACGCGACCUCACCGAGGUUCAACACCACCUACGGCGGAGUCGGAGUGGCGCCGCUGGUGGUGGACUGGGUUGUCGGAAACCAGACGUGCGACGUGGCGCGCAAGGAUCCCUCCUCCUACGCCUGCCUCGGCGACCACAGCGAGUGCUUCGACUCGCUCAAUGGACCAGGCUACAUCUGCAACUGCUCCAAGGGCUUCCAAGGCAAUCCUUACCUGCAAGAUCCGGAGCAAGGAUGCAAAGAUAUUAACGAGUGCACAGACCUGGCAAAAUACCCUUGCUCUGUACCUGGAACUUGCAAAAAUUUGCCCGGUGGAUUCAAUUGUCGUUGCCCCAAGCAUACCAAAGGCGACGCCCAGAAUGGGACAUGCGAGAGAAACCACACACUUGGUCUUGGAGAAAAAUUCGGUAUAUGAGUUUUUGGCGUUAUUCUGGUUGGCCUUGUUUGUAUCCUUGCAAUAGAAAUUACCCGUCACAAAAGGAGUAUCAAGAGACAAGCGCUGAUCCGACAGAGUGAUGAAUACUAUCAACAGCACGGGUAACAGAUACUAUCAGAAAUUAUGAGAGUAGAGCGUAACAUUGGGUUCACCGUCUAUGCCAGAGAAGAGAUCGAGGCAGCAACAAACGGGUUCGACAAGGAGAACAUCAUCGGGGAAGGAGGGCAGGGCACCGUGUACAAGGCGGUCCUCGACGUCGACGGCAAGGACACGCUUGUGGCGGUAAAAAGAUGCAAGGAGGUCGAUGAGAGCAGGACGAAGGACUUUGUGCAGGAGCUGGUGAUACUCUGCCGUGUCGACCAUCCCAACAUCGUCAAGCUCCUGGGUUGCUGCCUGCAGUUCGAGGUGCCCAUCCUGGUGUACGAGUACGUGAAGAACAAAACCCUGCAGGAGCUAUUGUACAGCCAACCGACCUCGUGUCGCGCCACCCUGGGGACCCGUCUGAGGGUCGCCGCGCAGUCCGCCGGAGCACUGGCGUACCUGCACUCGCUAGUGCACCCGAUACUCCACGGCGACGUGAAGCCCGCCAACAUCCUUCUCAGCGACGGAUGGGUCGCCAAGGUGUCUGACUUCGGCUGCUCCACCAUCGAUGAGAAGACCCAGGUGGUGGCCAGAGGCACAGCGGGCUACGUUGACCCAGAGUACCUGCUUGAGUACCAGCUCACCCACAAGAACGACGUCUACAGCUUUGGGGUCCUCCUUCUGGAGCUCCUAACCAGGAAGAAGCCGCUGUCAAAGCAACGAAAGAGCCUCAUGGUGAUGGUUCAAGAGUCUAUGGGAGAUGGCACGCUCCAUCAACUCUUUGACAAGGAAAUAGUCGAUGAUGCUAGCAUGGGAGUGGCCGUUCAGGCUGCGGAGCUAGCGACUCGAUGCUUAGUUAUGCCGGGAAACAGGAGACCGGCGAUGAGGUGCGUUGCUGAGGAGCUCCAGCAAUUGGCAGACCAAGUGCAGCAGCCAUUGGUUUUGGAGUGCCAUAGCCUCACUAUCAAAGAUAUGGAGAGCUCCAUGUCAUCUGAGAGUGACACCACUGGGGUUUUCAGCCUUGAAAAGAAAGCCGCAUUGAGCAUAGAAUUCGCUAGAUGA